GGAGAGAUGGCCGAGUGGUUGAUAGCUCCGGUCUUGAAAACCGGUAUAGUUUGGACAAAGAACUAUCGAGGGUUCGAAUCCCUCUCUCUCCU
rnacentral:tRNA from 1 species